ensembl:lncRNA
AUGGAGGGUGACAGGAAAUCUGAGACUGAGAAGAUGCUGAAAACUAGUUCUGUUGUUACACGUUCAACAGCAUCAUCAAAAAGGUCUAGUAGGACAUCGGCUAGCAUGGCUGCUGCCAAAGCACGAGCUAGAGCUGAGGCAGAGCGUACACGUGCAUAUUAUGUCAAGAAAGAAACUGAAAUGAAAGUAGAAAAAGUUCGCAUGGAAGGCAGUCUUACAGCACUAGAACAUGAAAAGGAGGCUGCUGCCGCUAUGGCCGAGGCAAGAAUAUUAGAGGAGGCUGUAGAGAGCAUGGAGGAAGGCAGUUAUCGUUCACAUAGCCCGAUUGCUCCUGCUGCAGACCCUGUGCAGCGCACGAGUGAUUAUGUGGAGCAGCACACAAAUAACUCCAUUGUUGUUCCUCCUGAGGAAAUAAGUUUAGCCACUCCACCUGUUGAUUUCAUGAACCUUUAUGGAAGUGAAAACAAGCAGUUAAAGGAAAGCUCUCAUAGGAGUGUGCCACCUGAUUUUGUUGAACAAGUCAACGAUUCAGUCUCAAAGCCUUACGCUAACAAGAUUGAAAAGCCUCAGUCUGCCACGUACAGUCCAGUUAAUUACUGGCCCCUUGCACAGACUUUCAAUUCCGGCGUUCCUAUGCAGUCAUCUUCCCACGGAGAAGUUGAAAUGAGUGAUUUAGCAAGAUUUCUUGCCCGUCGUGAGAUCAUUAGUUCCGGGCUCACAAUAUUCGACGAUCACCCAGAAAACUACUGGGCUUGGAAAUCCUCUUUCUUAAAUGCCACCAGUGGGCUCAAACUCUCUUCCAGUGAGCAGUUGGAUUUACUGAUUAAGUGGUUAGGCAGUCGGUCAUCAGAAUAUGUGAGACGCAUCAGGUCAGUGAAUAUAAGGUAUCCUGAUGCAGGGCUUAAAAUGGCAUGGGAUCGUCUAGAAGAGAUGUAUGGAUCCCCGGAAGUGGUUGAGAAAGCACUUUUUGACAAAAUUGAGAAAUUUCCAAAAAUCAAUAAACAAGAUCCUCUGAAAUUACAAGAGCUCGGAGAUCUGCUACGUGAGGUUCAGUCUGCUAAAGCUGAAGGGUACUUGACAGGACUUUCUUAUCUGGACACCUCCAGAGGAGUCAAUCCGAUCGUGGAGAAGCUGCCUUAUCACCUGCAAGAAAAAUGGAUUUAUCAGGGUUCUGAGUACAAAAGGAAGUACAACGUUACCUUCCCUCCAUUCUCCUUUCUUACUGACUUUGUCUGUCAGGAAGCACGUACUCGAAACGAUCCAAGCUUUAGCUAUAGUGCAGUCUGUACAACCCAGAUCAAAGCAGAACCGUUGGUUAAAAGACAAUUGCAAAGAAGGAUGGCCGUGUCUACACACAAGACGGGUGUAACAUCGUCAACCGGAUUUCUUCCCACAAGAAGUUCCGAAAAUGAACCUAUUGAUGUUGAAAAGCAGUGUCCUAUACAUAAAAACAAACCUCAUCCUCUGAGACGUUGCCGUGGGUUUAGAGCGAAGACUCUAGAAGAAAGGCAAACACUGCUUAGAGAAAAUGGUGUGUGCUAUAGGUGUUGUGCUUCGACGGUUCACUUGGCAAAGAACUGCAAGGCAGUAAUCAAAUGUAACGAAUGUGAAAGCGACCGACAUAUGUCUGCACUUCAUCCUGGUCCUCCACCGUGGGCCAACAAAGACCCUUCAUCAGAUCAUGGCGGGGAGGAGGAUAAAAGCCCUUCUCCUACUGUAACUUCACAAUGCACAGAGAUUUGUGGAGACAGUCCUAUACCUAAAUCAUGCUCUAAGAUAUGCUUGAUAGGAGUAUAUCAUGAGGAUCAUCCAGAAAUUAUGGUCAAGAUGUACGCAGUGCUCGAUGAGCAAAGUAAUAGAUCUCUAGCUAGACCUGAGUUUUUUGAUCUAUUCAAAGUAAAAGGAACAGAGCAUCCAUACUCUCUUCGAACUUGUGCUGGGUUAACAGAAACUUCAGGAAGAAGAGCCACUGGGUUUCAAGCUGUAUCUAUGGAUGGAAAGACACAUGUGUCACUUCCAACACUCAUCGAGUGUAAUUAUAUGCCUGACGACCAUUCUGAGAUCCCAUCUCCCACCAUUGCACGCCAGUUCCCUCACUUGAUAUCUAUUGCUCACGAAAUACCAGAGAUAGAUCCAUGUGCUAAGAUACUGCUUCUCUUAGGGAGAGACAUCAUCCAAGUCCACAAAGUGAGGAAACAGCUCAACGGUUUGAAUAAUUCACCGUACGCCCAAAAACUCGACUUUGGCUGGGUGAUAGUGGGAAAUGUCUGCUUGGGGUCAGCACAUAAACCUAGCACAGUUGACGUGUUCCGCACAAACAUACUUCUCAAUGGACGCCCAAGCAUAUGUGAGCCAUGUCCUAAUCAGAUACAGGUGAAAGAGAAGCUAAGCAGUAAAAAUCAUCCCAUCUCUUUACAUGGCUGUCGCUUUUACCCAUCCACCUGCCCUGAGUACUUGCUGGGUAACACUAUUUUCGAACGGACUCAAGACGAUGAAAAGAUAGCCCCUUCCAUUGAAGAUCGUUCAUUCUUGAAACUGAUGGACAAGGAAAUGUUCAUUGACAGCUCUAACAGCUGGGUGGCACCUCUUCCGUUCCGUAUUCCACGCCAACAGCUACCCAACAAUAGGGACCUGAGUAGGAAACGUCUCUUGUCACUUCAACAGACACUAAGGAAGAAGCCUCAAAUGCAGGAACAUUUCAUCACAUUCAUGCAAAGGAUUUUCGAUGCAGGUCAUGCAGAAUUAGCUCCACCUGUGAUGAAAAAUGAGGAAGUGUGGUACCUGCCUAUAUUUGGUGUCUAUCACCCUCCCAAGCCAGGACAGAUCAGAGUUGUUUUUGACUCUAGUGCUCAGUACAAAGGCCUUUCUUUGAAUCAAGUGCUUCUCUCAGGACCUGACCUGAAUAACUCCUUGCUAGGUGUUUUGCUGCGUUUCCGUAAAGAAGCAGUUGCAUUUACUGCUGACAUUGAACAGAUGUUCCAUAGCUUUGUGGUGAGAGAAGAUCACCGCAACUUUCUCCGCUUCUUGUGGUUUGAGGACAAUGACCUCUCGAAAGAUGUCACAGAGUAUAGGAUGAAGGUCCAUGUCUUUGGGAAUAGUCCCUCUCCCGCGGUAGCAAUCUAUGGACUUCAUCGUGCAGCUCAACAUGGAGAACUUGAGUUUGGGAAAGAUGCAAGAGCCUUUGUGGAGCGUAAUUUUUAUGUGGAUGAUGGCCUGAAAUCAGUGCCCACAGCUGUGGAAGCAGUUGGUCUGUUGAAAAGAACUCAGGAGAUGCUAGCAAGUUCCAACCUGAGGCUUCAUAAAAUAGCAUCUAACAGUCCUGAUGUAAUGAAUGCCUUUCCUGUGGAGGACCAUGUGAAAUAUCUCAAGGACCUCGAUCUGGAAAAAGAUACUCUACCUAUUCAGAGGAGCCUUGGUCUGAGCUGGAAUCUUAAAACAGACACUUUCACUUUUCGUGUUGAUGCAGAAGAGAAGCCUUUUACACGUAGAGGUGUCUUAGCAACUGUCAACAGCGUUUUUGACCCUCUUGGAUUGGCAGCACCUGUUACAAUACAAGGAAAGUUCCUUCUUCGUGACCUGACAGCAGACACCAAAGACUGGGAUGCCCCUCUACCAACAGUCAGGGAAGCUGAAUGGGAGGCUUGGAAAAACUCUUUGCAAGAUCUAGCUCAAUUUGAAAUACCCAGAGUGUACUCAAAGGUUUCGCUAUCUUCAGCUAAAAGGAAAGAAAUUCACGUUUUCUCAGAUGCUUCCACAAAGGCAAUUGCAGCAGUAGCUUACCUGAGAGUGAUGAAUGACAAUGGAUCAUGUACAGUAGGGUUUGUGAUAGGCAAGGCUAAGCUUGCUCCACUGUCUGCUCACACUGUACCUCGAUUAGAGCUUGGAGCAGCAGUCCUGGCAGUAGAAGUGGCAGAACUCAUUCAAGGUGAGAUGGAUAUUACUCCAGAUGCUGUAGAAUUCUAUUCCGACAGUAAAGUAGUGUUGGGGUAUAUUCAUAACCAAACCAGACGGUUUUACGUAUACGUGAGUAAUAGAGUCCAGCGGAUUAGGAAAUCUACAAGGCCAGAAUAG